rnacentral:rRNA from 1 species
CAGGCUUAACACAUGCAAGCCCUUGGGCAUCAGGACGAAAGCUUGCUUUCUUUGCUGGCGACCGGCGCACGGGUGAGUAACACGUAUCCAACCUGCCCUUUACUCGGGGAUAGCCUUUCGAAAGAAAGAUUAAUACCCGAUAGCAUAAUGAUUCCGCAUGGUUUCAUUAUUAAAGGAUUCCGGUAAAGGAUGGGGAUGCGUUCCAUUAGGUUGUUGGUGAGGUAACGGCCCACCAAGCCUUCGAUGGAUAGGGGUUCUGAGAGGAAGGUCCCCCACAUUGGAACUGAGACACGGUCCAAACUCCUACGGGAGGCAGCAGUGAGGAAUAUUGGUCAAUGGGCGCUAGCCUGAACCAGCCAAGUAGCGUGAAGGAUGAAGGCUCUAUGGGUCGUAAACUUCUUUUAUAUAAGAAUAAAGUGCAGUAUGUAUACUGUUUUGUAUGUAUUAUAUGAAUAAGGAUCGGCUAACUCCGUGCCAGCAGCCGCGGUAAUACGGAGGAUCCGAGCGUUAUCCGGAUUUAUUGGGUUUAAAGGGAGCGUAGGUGGACUGGUAAGUCAGUUGUGAAAGUUUGCGGCUCAACCGUAAAAUUGCAGUUGAUACUGUCAGUCUUGAGUACAGUAGAGGUGGGCGGAAUUCGUGGUGUAGCGGUGAAAUGCUUAGAUAUCACGAAGAACUCCGAUUGCGAAGGCAGCUCACUGGACUGCAACUGACGCUGAUGCUCGAAAGUGUGGGUAUCAAACAGGAUUAGAUACCCUGGUAGUCCACACAGUAAACGAUGAAUACUCGCUGUUUGCGAUAUACAGUAAGCGGCCAAGCGAAAGCAUUAAGUAUUCCACCUGGGGAGUACGCCGGCAACGGUGAAACUCAAAGGAAUUGACGGGGGCCCGCACAAGCGGAGGAACAUGUGGUUUAAUUCGAUGAUACGCGAGGAACCUUACCCGGGCUUAAAUUGCAGUGGAAUGAUGUGGAAACAUGUCAGUGAGCAAUCACCGCUGUGAAGGUGCUGCAUGGUUGUCGUCAGCUCGUGCCGUGAGGUGUCGGCUUAAGUGCCAUAACGAGCGCAACCCUUAUCUUUAGUUACUAACAGGUUAUGCUGAGGACUCUAGAGAGACUGCCGUCGUAAGAUGUGAGGAAGGUGGGGAUGACGUCAAAUCAGCACGGCCCUUACGUCCGGGGCUACACACGUGUUACAAUGGGGGGUACAGAAGGCAGCUAGCGGGUGACCGUAUGCUAAUCCCAAAAUCCUCUCUCAGUUCGGAUCGAAGUCUGCAACCCGACUUCGUGAAGCUGGAUUCGCUAGUAAUCGCGCAUCAGCCACGGCGCGGUGAAUACGUUCCCGGGCCUUGUACACACCGCCCGUCAAGCCAUGGGAGCCGGGGGUACCUGAAGUACGUAACCGCAAGGAUCGUCCUAGGGUAAAACUGGUGAC